rnacentral:rRNA from 1 species
CUCCAUAAUAUCAAGAGAAUGCAUAUUCUUUUGAUUAAAGCUCCGGCGGUUAAAGAUGGGCAUGCGUGCCAUUAGCUUGUUGGUGAGGUAACGGCUCACCAAGGCAACGAUGGCUAGGGGUUCUGAGAGGAUGAUCCCCCACACUGGUACUGAGACACGGACCAGACUCCUACGGGAGGCAGCAGUGAGGAAUAUUGGUCAAUGGGCGAAAGCCUGAACCAGCCAUGCCGCGUGCAGGAUGACGGCGCUAUGCGUUGUAAACUGCUUUUCUGCUCCAAGAACCCCCCGAUCGUGAUCGGGGUUGACGGUAGAGCAGGAAUAAGCAUCGGCUAACUCCGUGCCAGCAGCCGCGGUAAUACGGAGGAUGCAAGCGUUAUCCGGAUUUAUUGGGUUUAAAGGGUGCGUAGGCGGGAUAAUAAGUCAGUGGUGAAAAUCCUGCGGCUUAACCGUAGAAUUUGUCAUUGAUACUGUUAUUCUUGAGUUCAGUUGAGGUGGGCGGAAUGUAUAAUGUAGCGGUGAAAUGCUUACAUAUUAUACAGAACACCGAUUGCGAAGGCCAGCUCACUAAGCUGAUACUGACGCUGAGGCACGAAAGCGUGGGGAGCGAAACAAGGAUUAGAUACCCUGGUAGUCCACGCUGUAAACGAUGAUCACUCGCUGUUGGCAAUACAAUCGUCAGCGGCUGAGCGAAAGCAUUAAGUGAUCCACCUGGGGGGUACGUCGGCAACGAUGAAACUCAAAGGAAUUGACGGGGGCCCGCACAAGCGGUGGAACAUGUGGUUUAAUUCGAUGAUACGCGAGGAACCUUACCUGGGCUUAAAUGCAGAACGACGGUUCCCGAAAGGGAUCCUUCUUCGGACGGACUGCAAGGUGCUGCAUGGUUGUCGUCAGCUCGUGCCGUGAGGUGUCGGGUUAAGUCCCAUAACGAGCGCAACCCCUAUUGUUAGUUGCCAGCGAGUAAUGUCGGGGACUCUAACGAAACUGCCGGUGUAAACCGAGAGGAAGGUGGGGAUGACGUCAAAUCAGCACGCCACUUAUGUCCAGGGCUACACACGGUGUUACAAUGGACGAUACAGAGGGAAGCUACUUGGCGACAAGAUGCUAAUCUCGAAAAUCGUUCUUAGUUCGGAUUGGAGUCUGCAACUCGACUUCAUGAAGCUGGAAUCGCU